rnacentral:rRNA from 1 species
AUAAAUUCGCUUUUCCACCAGUCAAUGUCUGCUAACUUGAUACACAUGCGUACUUCGCCGGAUGCAACGAAGGCGGGGGAUACGAAUUCUCCUUUGCCCUCGGGAACGGUAAACAUAUUGGCCUCUGUGAAUGAGUCCCAGCCACCGGAAGUAUCACCGGUCAGAUACACUUCGGGCUUGUAGAAAUCGACUGCGUAUUUAUAAUUCCGUCCUUCGAGAGUGACUUUCACGACUACUAUAUACCAUCCCGGAUUACCAAUCUCAGAUAAACUCCGAAUGCCAAUGAGAUAUAAUCGGCAGUCAGACUGCGAGUGCUAAGAUCCGUAGUCGAAAGGGAAACAGCCCAGACCACCAGCUAAGGUCCCCAAUGUCGUACUAAGUGGAAAAGGAUGUGGGGUCUCUAAAACAACCAGGAUGUUGGCUUAGAAGCAGCCACCAUUUAAAGAGUGCGUAAUAGCUCACUGGUCGAGAGACCCUGCGCCGAAGAUUACCGGGGCUAAAGUACGAAACCGAAGCUGUGGCUACGACAUAUGUCGUGGGGUAGGGGAGCGUUCUGUGAGGGCUGAAGUCGUUCUGCAAGGAACGGUGGACUUCACAGAAGUGAGAAUGUUGGUAUGAGUAGCGAAAAGAAUGGUGAGAAUCCAUUCCACCGAAAGCAUAAGGAUUCCUGGGCAACGAUCGUCGUCCCAGGGUAAGUCGGGACCUAAUCCGAGGCAUGGAGCGUAGGAGAUGGACAACUGGCAGAUAUUCCAGUACCGGUAAUGAUUGUUUGAGCGAUGGAGUGACACAGGAGGGCAGGCAGGCAGGAGAUUGGUUGUUCCUGUACAAGCGUGUAGGAUGGGACGCAGGCAAAUCCGCGUCCUGUGAGUCUGAGGCGUGAUGUGGAGGUUCCGGAAACGGAACUGAAGCUGCUGACCCCACACUGUCGAGAAAAGCUUCUAGUUAGAGAAUUGCCGCCCGUACCGUAAACCGACACAGGUAUGCGGGGAGAGAAUCCUAAGGUGCGCGGGAGAACCCUCGUUAAGGAACUCGGCAAAAUGUACCCGUAACUUCGGGAUAAGGGUAGCCGCUGUUGUGAAGUCUGAACAGACGGAGCAUGAGGCGGUCGCAGAGAAGAGGCCCAAGCGACUGUUUACCACAAACACAGGUGCCUGCUAAAGAGAAAUCUGACGUAUAGGUGCUGACACCUGCCCAGUGCCGGAAGGUUAAGGAAGGAUGUCCGGAGCAAUCCAAAGCAUUCGACCGAAGCCCCGGUGAACGGCGGCCGUAACUAUAACGGUCCUAAGGUAGCGAAAUUCCUUGUCGGGUAAG